CACAUUCUAAAUCCCGGUUGCUUCAAACAUGUGAUAUUUGUAGUGACAAGAAUGAUGGAAAUACGGAAGCAUUUUUCCUUCGAAGAUCGACAGUUCCGUCUGUGCCAUCAGUGACAGCAGAUCCACUUUGUUUACCGUGUAAUACGACACAGGCAGAGUGUGAUCUCAUAGCAGAAGCAACAACACCUGCUGAAACCACAACGCCUGCACCAAAGACAACAACUCGUGGUCAUCACGGUCAUUGCAGGAAGAGACAUCCUUAGUUUCGUCACAUGAGAGGAUAGUCGAUAAUCAAUCCAAAUAAAUGGA